rnacentral:rRNA from 1 species
GAGUUUGAUCCUGGCUCAGGAUGAACGCUAGCGGCAGGCUUAACACAUGCAAGUCGAGGGGCAGCAUGGGAGUAGCAAUACUUCUGAUGGCGACCGGCGCACGGGUGCGUAACGCGUAUGCAACCUACCUGUAACAGGGGGAUAACACUGAGAAAUCGGUACUAAUACCGCAUAACACUAUGAGAGGCAUCUCUUGUGGUUGAAAGUUUCGGCGGUUACAGAUGGGCAUGCGUUGUAUUAGCUGGUUGGUAAGGUAACGGCUUACCAAGGCGACGAUACAUAGGGGGACUGAGAGGUUAACCCCCCACAUUGGUACUGAGACACGGACCAAACUCCUACGGGAGGCAGCAGUGAGGAAUAUUGGUCAAUGGACGAAAGUCUGAACCAGCCAUGCCGCGUGCAGGAAGACGGCUCUAUGAGUUGUAAACUGCUUUUGUACAAGGGUAAACCUGAAUACGUGUAUUCAGCUGAAAGUACUGUACGAAUAAGGAUCGGCUAACUCCGUGCCAGCAGCCGCGGUAAUACGGAGGAUCCAAGCGUUAUCCGGAUUUAUUGGGUUUAAAGGGUGCGUAGGCGGAUUGAUAAGUUAGAGGUGAAAUGUCCGAGCUUAACUCGGGAACUGCCACUAAUACUGUUGAU